UACCACACGGCGGCCGCGGCCAGGACUGAGCUCGACUUCAUGACCACGGGGGUGUUCUCAUGACGUGUGCCGGGGACCCCCGGAUACCUGGGCUGAGGAGGGAAAAGCAUCCCCUUCCCCGCCCGCCUCCGUCUAAGCAGCCUUCGUGCCUCCUACGGAAAGCCUUUCCUGGCCGCAGGAGUAGGUAGAGCCUGAGGAACCUCCGGUUUGGAGGCAGCACAGAGUUCUCUGUGCAGGGCAGGAGGAACGAGGGACAGCCUGCUCUGUAGCCGCGAUAAGCAGCUGCGAUUGGUGCUGAGGAGCUCCUGGCCGCCUCAGCCCAGGACAAGCUAUUCCUCCUAAGUUUCAGAAUCAGUGCAAGUCCCACACGUCUGUAGAAAUAGCACCGAUGGCAGGCAAUAUUUAAACUUAAAAAAACAAACAAUACAAUCUCCACUUGGAAAUCUGUUAAGUCAGUGGGAGCAAGAAUUGUAAAUAUUCUAUGUAGCAGAGAUACUUAAAGCAGCUUUACUGCACUCCUGAAGAUGGCAACGCCAAGUGAAUGUGAGGAGGUGAUCGAGGUUGAUGGAAUUUACCACUUUUUUCUUUACAAACUGAUUUUCUAAUCAAAUGUAUAGUUGCAGUACUAUUUCAUUUUGAGGAGCUGGUUUUUAAGGACGAGUUUUUACUGUGGUCAGAUUAUUUUCCAGCUGAGCUCUGCACACACAUGCAGCACCUUGCUGUCACUAUUUUUGAAUCCAUUUAUUCUUAAGCAAGUUUUCUGACUAACAUUGUUGCAUUUUUCACAUCUGUAUCUUCUACAGAAUACCAAACCUAAUGAAAUCAACAACACUGUAGAUUAAGAUGAUUCUUAGUUCCCCCUGCUGACUUUCUUAUCACAUCAGGAAUAAUAAUCAUCUUCAACCACAUCUGCUGCUUUUACUGUUGUAAACCAUACUCACUGCUGUCAUUGCAAGCAGCAUUUCUGUAGGAACAUGUCAGUUAUGGCACAGCAUUGUACUCCAGCUGGUGCAAGUUACCAUUACGAUGGGCUGUUUCCUAAUGGUUUCCAGUGUACUAGACAUUUGUUUUGGAGUAUGUACACUUACACUCCCAUGUCAAAACCUGCUGAGGACAACUGCUACAAGCUUCUCACAGUCCUGUGAUCCAGCCAGCUGUCCUAUACAGGAAUCAGCACAGGAGAAGCAUGAGAUCUGUAUGCACACCCACAAAAGGAAGAACAUACAAGGUCAAAACGCCAUCUCUGAAGGACUCUCAGAAGUUCAAAUGCAAAGUGAUGACAAACGAUCAAUGUCAUGAUAAGUAGAAGAUGGAUAAAUUCAUCCAUUCCAGGUCAAUCAGGAGGAAGAAACAAGAUUGCAGGCACGCCUACUGAAAUCACUCAACCAAUUGAAGAAACAGAAUGAGAUUUGGAUUAUAGGGUUUCAGAUAAUACCAAGUCCCUUGUGAAAGGUUCUGCAAAGCUGCAAUGAACAAAGGUUAUUAAGUUCCUGCUGUGUUCAAGUUUCUUACAGGUGCUUGAGAAUUAUUUCUUCUGCAUCCACUGACUACUCCCUCAUCUGAGUGUUCUUGGAUAGUUGAAGAUAACCUGAUUCAAGAGAUUUAUCCACUUCAAGGAUAUGUGCAAUAAUCAGUUAUUCUGGAUAUAUCUAAUUAAAAUCUAUGCAAAACAAAAGCUUUGGACAACAGACAGAAGUAUGCUAACCCUCAGAUAUACAAGCCCUAAAGGAGAAAUGGAGACAAUAUCAAAGACCAGAAAUCUCAGGCCAUUGAUUGGCCAUUGAAGGAUCCACUCAGAGCAUUGCAGAGUUCAACCAGAACCUCUUCAGAACUUCAAC